GAUGAACGCUAGCUACAGGCUUAACACAUGCAAGUCGAGGGGCAGCGCAGUGUAGCAAUACAUGGGCGGCGACCGGCGCACGGGUGCGUAACGCGUAUCCAACCUUCCCGUUACUCUUGGAUAGCCUUCCGAAAGGGAGAUUAAUACAAGAUGGUAUUCAAAUUCCGCAUGUUAUUUGAAUUAAAGAUUUAUCGGUAACGGAUGGGGAUGCGUGACAUUAGAUAGUAGGCGGGGUAACGGCCCACCUAGUCUACGAUGUCUAGGGGUUCUGAGAGGAAGGUCCCCCACACUGGAACUGAGACACGGUCCAGACUCCUACGGGAGGCAGCAGUGAGGAAUAUUGGUCAAUGGUCGGAAGACUGAACCAGCCAAGUAGCGUGAAGGAUGAAGGUUCUAUGGAUUGUAAACUUCUUUUAUAUGGGAAUAAAGUGUGGGACGUGUCCCAUUUUGUAUGUACCAUUAUGAAUAAGCAUCGGCUAACUCCGUG
rnacentral:rRNA from 1 species